rnacentral:lncRNA from 1 species
AUGAAUGAGAGGUCUGGCACAGCUGUGGUGAGAAGCCUUCUGUUACUGGCCUGGCAUGGGAAAGGCAGAAAGAGUCGAGGAUCUGAAGGUGUGGAAACAGGAAGACUUCUGUGGUCCAGAGUUCCAAGACCUUCUGAUGAAGCGUGUGUCAGAAUUCUGAUUGUGACCAGUGUACCAGCUGUCACCAGAACUGGCCAGAUGAAGGCAGAAAGGAAGAGACAGUGCUACAUUGACUUCAGACUCUGCUCAGUUGCUUUCAGUCUCAGUUAA